GUUGUUUGUUAAGCUAGUUAACCUAAAGCUAACCAGCCAACAUCUCUGACCUGCAGAGAAAGGUCUAAAUUGCCAUUAUCUGAUAAAGUCCAUCAUCUCAUCAGUGCUCAUCUUUACACGCUCAGCAUCUCCAGAGCAGGCAACUGUCACCAUGGAGACACCGCCAUUCUUUUGCUCAUGUGAGGAGAUUAAAAGUGCUCUGCCCAUUACUGACUGGUACAAGCCCUGAGACUUGAAUGGAUGGACAGCCAUUAUGAGAAGAAGAAGAUACCUUUUUCAUUUAGACCAGCUUUUUCUUCAAGGCUGCUGCAAGAACAGAAGCUCACCUUUCCCACAGAAAAACCCUUGGAUUAUGACCAGCUUAGAGAGGGCUGCUUGUCAAGGCCCUGUCUCUGCCCAUCAGCCUGCGCUCAUACUAUCCAUCUCUAUCUGAAGGGCAUUGGCCGUGACUGAUUUGCACCAGGAUCCGCU
rnacentral:lncRNA from 1 species